rnacentral:lncRNA from 1 species
GGCUUAAUAUCUAUUGUGUCUGAUAUAAAUACAUCUACCUCUGCUCUCUGUUGAUUUUCAUUUGCAUGAAAUAUCCUUUUUCUUUCUUUCACUUUCAGUCUAUGUGCAUCUUUAAAGGUGAGGUAACUCUCUUGCAGGCAACUUAUAGUAGGGUCUUUUAAACAAAAUCCAUUCAGCCACUCUAUGCCUUUUAAUUGGAUAAUUUAAUCCAUUUAACAUUCAAAACUAUUAUUUUCAGGUAAAGACUUACUACUACCAUUUCAUGAUUUGUUUUCUGGUUGUUUGGAAUAUAGUUUGUUUUUUUUCUUUCAUGCUACCUUCCUUUGUGCUUUGAUAGUUUUUUGGUUUGAUGGUUUGAUGGUUUUUGUAAGUAUGCUUUGAAUUCUUUCUAUUUAUAUUUUGCACAUCUAUAGAUGUGCUAUUAUGAGGCUUACAUUAAGUAUCUCAGACUUAGGCUAUUUCAAGCUAAACACCACUUAACUUUGAUCAUAUCUAACAACUCUUUCUUUUUAUUUUCCCUUAAUUUGAUUUUUGAUGUCAAUAUUACAUAAUUUUAUCAUUUGUUUUUCAUAAUUUAUUUUGCCAUAGUUUUUAGCAGUUUUAUCCUUUAACCAGUAUACUAGAAUUAAAAUUCCUUUACAUACCACCAUUUCAGACAUAGAGUAUUUGACUAUGAAUAUAUGUUACUUGUAUCAUUGAUUUUUGUAUUUUUGUACAUUUUAUGUUAUUAAUUAGUGAAAUAAUUUUUGUUUUUGUUUUUGUUUUUCAGCUUUGAGAACUAGAUUAAGUAAUUCCUGCAAGGCAAACCAAGUGAUGAUGAGCUCUCUCAGCUUCUGUUUGUCUGAUAAACUUUCUAUUCUCUCUCACUUCUGAAGGAAAGCUUUGCCAGGGUUUCAUUCAUUUUAAAGCUAACAGAAAAACAACAGAUUUUUAUAAUUAAGUUCCUGAGAAACCAUGAUAAAUACAGCAUUACACAUACUGUCGAUGAUAUUUUGGAUUUUGUAAGACACCAGAGAUCAAAACAUGCCAAAUUGGACUUCUUGUCAUUGUCUAUACAAACAAAACUCACAGACAUCAAAGCCACUAUGACCAUGCUGCUGAUGCAAGGACUGGUGUGUGCAAGAAAGUUUGUAUUUGGAACCAUCUCUAUCUUACACUUUUCAAAGUAAGAUAACCUAGGUACUUCCUACUUAAAACUCACAUGUCAAUAUGUUUUUGUGCUUCUCAAAACCUUCCUGGGCUAAGGCACAUGGAGCAAAUGUUAAUUUGCUCAAGAGUCCUGUCCUUUGCCUGUGUUUGUUACCAUUAAACUAUGACAUGGGCAUCAUGGCUUCUCCUGAAGUCAUUGUUUAUGCUUUCAUCAUAUUAUUCUCCCUUGCAAAUGCUAUUGUUCCUGAGUAUAAUAAAUCACCGGAUUUCCUUAUCGCAAGCUUGUUUGCCUUUCUUACUUGCUUUCUCUGUUAUCUAAUAUUUUAGUAAUAAUAACAACUACUUUCCAUUGAGUAGUUCAUUUGUGUCAGGCCCUAAGCUAAACACUUUAUGUUCAUAAUGAUAUUGAAGCAACAUUACAAACUUAUAAAUCCUGUUAACAACCCCAUAUUUUAGAUAAAGAAAAGAGGCUCAGAGAGGUUAAGUCGCUUACUCCAAGUCACACAGCUAGAGAGAAACCGAUCAAGCUGUGAGCUUUGAGGUUCUAACCCAAUGUGUCUAGUUCCCAAGUGUGUCCUCAAAGCCAUCAAACUUUUCUUCUUCCUAUUAUAUUCAGUUGGUCACAGAACUUUAUUGCUAUUUUUAAAAAUAUGAAUAUCUUCAUUUCCAUUCUUCCUUUCAACUAUUUCAGCUUAAAUUAUUUCAUUUAUUUAUUUAUUUUUGAGACAGAUUCUCACUCUGUUGCCUAGGCUGGAGUGCAGUGGUGCUAUCAUAGCUACCUGCAGCCUCAACUUUCUGGGCUCAACUGAUCCUCUCACCUCAGACUUCCAAGUAGCUGGGACUACAGCGUGUGCCACCACAUCUGGCUAAUUUUUGUACUCUUUUUUGGUAGAGAUGGGGUUUUACCAUGUUGGCCAGGCUGGUCUCAAACUCCUGACCUCAAGUGAUCCUCCUUCUUCGGCCUCCCAAAGUGCUAGGAUUACAGACAUGAGCCACCAUCGUGCCUGGCCACAGCUUAAAUGAUUUUAAAAUCUUGCAGUCAUAUCCUUAAAUACUUGUUGUUGUCCUACAAUAUGACAUUUAAACAGAUUAGUUACUGUCACUAAAUACUUCCAAAAUGAUAAAUAAAAUGUCAGAUUAACCAUGCAAAUUUUAGUCAGCUUAAGUAAUUUUUAAUAAAGUGAGAAAUGGCAGAAUGGUAUACCUUAAUUCCUGGGAAAAAUUUAGCAUCAUGUUUUUAAAUGAACGACAGAUGUUUUUAAAGUAUCUAUCUUGUUAUUUGCAGCUAGUUUAUAAUAUCUAAAUAUAGAUCUCAAAAUAGACAUUUUAACUAUUCAAUGUAACUAGUUCUCUUUGAAAUCUACUUUUCCGUGCAUCAUUUCACUCAAAGCAGAGAGCUCAUUUUCAGUCAGGUAUAAUUUUAUUACUAUGCCCCUUUGGGGGGCACCGAAAAGAUAAUCAAGAUAAAUGAUGUUUUUUAUCAUUUUUAAUAUUUUUUCUUAAAAAAAUCAAGUUGACAUACCAUAACCUGUGGGCCAUCUACCUAUUUUUAUAAAGAGAGUUUCAUUGGAACCAGAGUUUGGAGUAGGGUUAGUUGAGUAAAUACAUUCUGCAAGUAUAGAAUCAGAUCUUGUCUUUAUUUAAAUCUGUAAUAUUUUGUUCAUUACAUUUCUAAAAAUAAUUUAGAUUUACAAUAUUGCACUAAAAUAUUAUUUAUCUUGAUUCCUGAAUGUUUUCCUCCCCCACCUUUACCCACUUAAAUUUUGUGCCUGAGUCUGAAAAGUGAGUCUCACUCACUUUAUCUUAGUUUUAAGCCUGGUAUACAUGUGUGAAACUGUCAAUGCAAUCAAGAUGUUAAGCAUGUCUGUCACCCCAAAAAGUCUCAUGUCCCUUUGUAAUCUCUUCCUUCUGCCACUCCCCACUUAGACCUCUCCCAGUAACCAGGUAACCACUAAUCUGUUUUCUAUUACCAUAUAUUAGUUUGAAUUUCCUAGAGCUUUAUAUAAAUGACAAUAUAGAGUAUCCUUUCUCUUUUAUCUUCUUUCAUCCAGCAUAAUUAUUACCAUGUUGUGACAUGUUCACUCUUUUUUUAAGUGCUAAGUAGUAUUAUGUCCUUCCACCUGUUGAUGGACAUUUGGGUUGUUUCCAGUUUUAAAGUAUUACAAAUAAAGCUGCUUGAACAUUCAUGUGUAAGUCUUUGUAGGUAUAUAUGCUUUUCUUUCUCUUAUCUAAAUAUCUAGGAGUAGAAUUCCUGGAUCAAAUGAUAAAUGUAUGUCUAACUUUUUAAGACGUUGCCAAACUAUUUUCAAAAUAAAUGAAUCAUUUUAUGUUCUCAGCAGCAAUAUGUGAGAAUCCUAGGUCCACCACACCCUCACUGACAUUUAGUUGGAGAGGUGCGAUGAGGAGAUCUGACAGAAAAUAAAAGUGAGGGAGGACUUGCAAACUGCCUUUACUUUGAGUGUGUUCCCCAAUCCACACAAAGAUCGACUGGUUAAGUGUAGAAGGCUUAUGAGUUCAAGUUGUUUAUGUAUAACCGCUAACAAAUCAUUAAGUGACCACUAAGAUAUGUUGACAAAGGUGCAAUCCCUAAAAAUCCAGGCUUAAAAAUUAAAUUAGUAAUGAAAAAAUAAUAAAUCAGAGCAGAAACAUUAGCAACUGCACAUUGUGUGCAAGAAAGACUAUAGAAUUGGCUGGGCGUGGUGGCUCACACCUGUAAUCCCAGCACUUUGGGUGGCCAAGGGGGGCGGAUCACCUGAGGUCAGGAGUUCAAGAGCAGCCUGGCCAACAUGGUGAAACUCCGUCUCUACUAAAAACACAAAAAUUAGCUAGGUGUGGUGGCACACGUCUGUAGUCCCAUCUACUCAGGAGGCGAAGGAAAGAGAAUCGCUUGAACCCGGGAGGCGGAGGAUGCAGGGAGCCAAGGAACCCGGGAGGCGGAGGAUGCAGGGAGCCAAGAUCGUGCCACUGCACACCAGCCUGGGCGACAGAGUGAAACUCAGUCUCAAAAAAAAGACUAUUUAAUAUAGCAACAUACUAAAUAAAAAUCCCCCCCUAACACACACACACACACACACACACACACACACACACACAAAAUCAGUGACAAUUCUUUGGGGGAAGAAAGUAUUAGUUUUCUUUGCUGUAAUUGCUACAGCCUAGUGACUUAAAGCAACAUAAAUUUAUCAUCUCAGUUUCCAUGAGUCAGAAGUCGGGGCAUAGCUUAACUGAUUCCUUUGCUCAGUUAAUCAAUAGCUUAACUGAUUCCUUUGCAAGGCAAGAGUUAAGCGGUCAGCUGGGGCUGAGGUCUCAUCUGAGGCUUAGGUCUUCAGAAUUUAUAUGACUGUUAGCAGAAUGUAUUUAUUUUCUUACAGCCAUGGAACUCAUGGUGGCUUCCUUCCUUAGGAUGAACGAGAGAGAGAGAGAGAGAGAGAGAGAGAGAGAUCUGCUGCUAGUCCCUAAUUUCCUGAAUGUCUCUAAAGGGCUUCCCAAUAGGUCACACUCACCUAAGAUAAUCUCACUUUUGAUUAACUCUAAGUCAGUUGGGUAGAAACCUUUAUUUCAUUUGGAAAAAUCCAUUUACCUUUACUAUAUAAUAUAAACUAAUCAUGGUAGUGACAUCCAUCAAGUUCAUAGGUUCUGCUCAAACUCAAGGAGAUUAUUCAGUACAUGUACACUAGAAAGUAGGAAUUCUGAAGGUCAUCUUAUAAUUCUGUAACAACAAAGACUUGCUAUAUUAUCUAAAAUGUAAAAUUUCAACAAAAAAUUAUAAUACUUGAAAUGGAGAAGGGUUACUUGUACACAGAAAAAAAAAGCAGCCAAUAUAUAUUGUAUUGAAAAGGGCCAGGAUGUUGUAUUUAGCAAACAAAAAUGUCAAAACAGUGGUCACAAGUGUGUUCAAAAACUAAAUGAAAUAAUGUUUAAAGAAUUAAAGAUAAGUAUGAUUACUUACUCAUCAAAGAACAAAUUGCUCAUCAAAUAAAGAAUAAAAAAAGAGAUAGAAAUUAUUUUUUCAAAAAAAUUUUCUGAGCUUCAAAAGCACAGUAACAGAAAUAAAACAUAUCAGAGAGGCUCCAAGCUACUUUAAACUGGUAGAAGAGAGAAUCUGUGCAUAAUAGAUCAGUAGAAAUUGUCUAAUUUGAAGAAACAAAGAGGGAAGAGUAAAGAGUGAAGAAAAAUGAACACAGCCUUAAAGACCUGGGGGACAUCACUGAGUGAACCCAUACAUAUGUAUAUAAUGGAAGUUCUAGAAGGAGAGGUGAUAAAAGAAUAAAUAUAUAUAUAUAGGACUCAUAGCAAAAACUUCCCAAACUUGAUUGAGAACAUUUAACUACACAUCUAAGAAUCUCAAAAACUCCAAGUAGAACACACUCAGAGAUAUGUACCCAAAUGUAUUGUGGUCAAACUGUUGAAAGCCCAAAACAGAAAAUGUUAAAAAGAAAAAAACCACACACACAAGAGAAAUAUGACUUAAAAUAUACAGGCUAACUACAAUAAAAUUCAGAGUACUUCAGACCCAAUGGAGGUCAGAGGCCAAGAGAAUGGCAUAUUUAAAUUAUUAAAAGAAAGAAAUGCCAAUCAUAAAUUUUAUAUUCAGCAAAACUAUCCUUCAUAAAUGAAGGUGAAAUAAAAACAUUCCUAGCAGACCUGCUUUAUGAUAAAUACUAAAGGAAGUCCUUAAGGCUGAACAAAAUUAUACUAAGUAGUAACUCACAUAUACCUGAAAAAAUAAUGUUUAUGGUAAAGGUAAUAUAAAAAAGUAUAUAUAUAUUUACAUGUAUGUGUGUAUAUAUAUUUACAUGUAUAUAUAUAUAUCUUUUUUAACGAAUUUAAAAGACAACCAUAUAAAAAUAAACGUUAUCAAACUGUAUCAUUGCCCUUAUAAUGUAUAAACAUAUAGUAUACAUGACAACCAUAGCACAACAUAGGAAGGAGAAAAUAGAGCUAUAUCAGAAAAAAACUCCUAUAUUAUUGCACAACUCUAUAAAUUGUACUUUAGAAAUUAUUGUAUUGUACACGUAGGAUAGUGUAUUAGUUCAUUUUCAUGCUGCUGAUAAAGACAUACCCAAGACCACGUAAUUUAUAAAGGAAAACAGUUUUAAUGGACUCACAGUUCCCUGUGGCUUGGGAGGUCUCACAAUCAUGGUGGAAGGUUAAAGGCAAGUCUUACACAGCAGCAGACAAGAGAGAAUGAGAACCAAGUGAAAGGGGCUCCCCCUUAUAAAACCAUCAGAUCUCAUGAGACUUAUUCACUACCAUGAGAAGAGUAUGGAAGAAACCACCCCCAUGAUUCAAUUAUCUCCCACUGGGUCCCUCCCACAGCAAGUGGGAAUUAAGGCAGCUACAAUUCAAGAUGAGAUUUGGGUGGGAACACAGCCAAACCAUAUCGGAUAGGAAAAUUUUAUGAUAUACAGAUUAUAUCUCAAUAAAUUUGGUAUAAAAAAAAUCAGGGCCAAAUUUCUGCCAGGUAUCACUUUACACUUUUAUAAAAAUAAAUAUUUUUCUAGAGUUCCAGUGACUUCCUUACUGGUCUAAAGAGCACUACAAAAAUAAUGCAUGUAAAUUAUGCUUUUUCAUAACUAUUUACACUUAACAUUUGUUUCAAUGAAAUGAAGCCAAAACAUAAAAUUCCAAAGCAAAGUUAGAUCAUGAAUUGGCAGUGGAAGUCUGUACAGUGAUGUCUGAAUAGAGAGGAAAAAAUAAAGCUGGAA